rnacentral:lncRNA from 1 species
ACUCCACUCCGGCUCCUGCGGCGCUGACGGAGCGGGGUGGGGGGAGUUGCUGCGUCUGGGGGUGUAAGAACCUUAGAUGUCACGGAGCUUGGAAUUGUGCCAACGGGCAGGCUGAAGGGGCCUUAAAGUGCUGCCAAGCCCUCCUCAUGCCACACCAGCUUCCCUGCAGAGCCAGGAUGGGGACCCCGAUGUCUGCCCUGUGGGCUGGAGCAGGCGGCGACUCUGUCCUGGCUGUGAGAUCUCCUCCACCGCCCCUGACUCCUACCCUGUCAGGCCCACCCCCAGUCUCUUAUCACCGCUGGAGGGGAAUCUGAGCAAUCCCCUACGGGGUGACAACCUGCAACUACAUGGCAUCGUGCACGUGGAUCCACUGCAGCAUGGAGCGGGGUCUGCAUCAGGAAAGACACUCCUCCUCUUCCCCCGGCCGCAGGCUGGAGUGCAGUGGCGUGAUCUCGGCUCGCUACAACCUCCACCUCCCAGCCGCCUGCCUUGGCCUCCCAAAGUGCCGAGAUUGCAGCCUCUGCCCGGCCGCCACCCCGUCUGGGAAGUGAGGAGCGUCUCUGCCUGGCCGCCCAUUGUGUGGGAUGUGAGGAGCUCCUCUGCCCCGCUGCCCCGUCUGGGAUGUGAGGAGCGCCUCUGCCCGGCCGCGACCCCGUCUGGGAACUGAGGAGUGUCUCUGCCCGACUGCCACCCCAUCUGGGAGGUGAGGAGCGUCUCUGCCCGGCAGCCGCCCCGUCCGGGAGGGAGGUGGGGGGUCAGCCCCCGUCCGGCCAGCCGCCCCGUCCGGGAGGGAGGUGGGGGGCGCCUCCGCCCGGCCACUGCCCCGUUUGGGAGGUGAGGGGCGCCUCUGCCCGGCCGCCCCGUCUGGGAAGUGAGGAGCCCCUCUGCCCGGCCGCCACCGCGUCUGGGAGGUGUACCCAACAGCUCAUUGAGAACGGGCCAUGAUGACGAUGGCGGUUUUGUCGAAUAGAAAAGGGGGAAAUGUGGGGAAAAGAAAGAGAGAUCAGAUUGUUACUGUGUCUGUGUAGAAAGAAGUAGACAUGGGAGACUCCAUUUUGUUCUGUACUAAGAAAAAUUCUUCUGCCUUGGGAUGCUGUUGAUCUAUAACCUUACCCCCAACCCCGUGCUCUCUGAAACAUGUGCUGUGUCCACUCAGGGUUAAAUGGAUUAAGGGCGGUGCACGAUGUGCUUUGUUAAACAGAUGCUUGAAGGCAGCAUGCUCGUUAAGAGUCAUCACCACUCCCUAAUCUCAAGUACCCAGGGACACAAACACUGCGGAAGGCCAAAGGGUCCUCUGUCUAGGAAAACCAGAGACCCUUGUUCACAUGUUUAUCUGCUGACCUUCCCUCCACUAUUGUCCUAUGACCCUGCCAAAUCCCCCUCUGCGAGAAACACCCAAGAAUGAUCAAUAAAUACUGAAAAAAGAAAUAAUAAUAAUAAUAAUAAUAACUGUAGGCCAGGUGCAGUGGCUCAGGCCUGUAAUCCCAGUACUUUAGGUUGAGGAGGAGGACUGCUUGAGCUCCAGAGUUUGAGAGCUAUAUAUACACAAGGAAAUUAACAUAUAGUAUAAUAAUAAAAUAAAAUAUAUUUUAUAUACUUAUUUUUAAAAUCAUUAAAAUUUUUUAUUUUAAAAAUUAACAUAAAAAUUGUAGUUAUUGUACACAACAUGUUGUUUUGAAUUAUGUAUGCACUGUGGAAUGGCUAAAUCAAGCUAAGUAAUGUAGGUGUCACCACAUACUUAUUGUUUUAUGGUGAGAACACUUAAAAUGUACUCUCAGCAAUUUUCAAGAAUACAAUACAUUGUUAUUAACUGUGGUCACCAUGUACAAUGGAUCUCUUGUACUUAUUCCUCCCAUCUAACUGAAAUUUUGUAUCCUUUGACCAACAUCUCCCAACACCCCCACUCCCUCUGCCAGCCUCAGCACAACCACCGUUCUCCUCUCUGCUUCUGUGAGUCCAACUUUUUUUUUUGAGACGGAGUUUCGCUCUUGUUACCCAGGCUGGAGUGCAAUGGCGCCAUCUCGGCUCACUGCAACCUCUGCCUCCCGGGUUCAAGUGAUUCUCCCGCCUCAGCCUCCUGAGUAGCUGGGAUUACAGGCGUGCACCACCACACCCAGCUAAUUUUUUGUAUUUUUGGUAGAGACAGGGUUUCUCCAUGUUGGUCAGGCUGGUCUCAAACUCCUGACCUCAGGUGAUCUGCCUGCCUCGGCCUCCCAAAGUGCUGGGAUUACAGGUGAGAGCCACUGUGCCCGGCUGAGUUCAACUUGUUUAGAUUCCAUAGUUUAAGUGAAAUCACGCGUACUUGUCUUUCUGUGCCUGUGUUAUUGCGCUUAACAUAAUGUCCUCUAGGUUCGUUCACGGUGCUGACAGUGACAGGACUGUCUCUUUUUUUAGGCUGAAUAGUAUUCCAUGGUGUAUAUAUACCACAUUUCCUUGAUCCAUUCAUCCACCGAUGGACAUUUUCAGUUGUUUCCACAGCUUGGCUAUUGUGAAUAAAACUGCAAUGAGCAUGGGGUGCAGAUGUCUUUUUGACAUACUGAUUUCAUUUCCUUUGGAUACACACCCAGUAGUGGGAUUGCUGGAUCAUAUGGUAGUUCUAUUUUUAUUUUGUUUUUGAGGAACCUCCAUACUGUUUUCCAUAAUGGCUAUACUAAUUUACAUUCCC